rnacentral:misc_RNA from 1 species
UCAACCAGGUAGCAUUCCUCAACGACAACGGCCGACGGGGCACGCGAAUGCAACGACGGGCGUCGUUCGAUCGAGGCGAAAAUCGCUAGCGACGGGCAAAGACGGGCCGUUAGCCCCGUACCCGCACGCGUGUUCCGAAUCCGAGAGCUCGAGCGACGAUCCGUGGGCCGCGACGGCAUCGUUUGCGAUCCGUGCCGGGCGGAACACGAACGGCGCUUCGUGGUUCGCCCGACGCCGUACCCGGGGAAAAACGGGCCGGCACCAGGCGAAAGAGUGACGAUUUGGCAGCCGAAUUCCGUCUCGUAGGCAUGCAACACAGGAAACCGAUCGUGCGGCCGAGGCGGGCGUCGCCCUCGUACCGUCAACUGAAGGGGAGCGCAAGGCCGGACGUCGCUGCCCGAGCAGGGAUCCAAGCGAACCUUGCCAUCCAACCAACCCAUACAAGA